rnacentral:rRNA from 1 species
CCUACGGGUGACAGCAGUGGGGAAUAUUGCACAAUGGUGGAAACCCUGAUGCAGCGACGCCGCGUGAAGGAUGAAGUAUUUCGGUAUGUAAACUUCUAUCAGCAGGGAAGCAAAUGCCGGUACCUGACUCAGAAGCCCCGGAUAACUACGUGCCAGCACCCGCGGUAAUACGGCGGGGGCAAGCGUUAUCCGGAUUUACUGGGUGUAAAGGGGGCGUAGACGGUAUGGCAAGUCUGAGGUGAAAACCCGGGGCUCAACCCCGGGACUGCAUUUGAAACUGCCGAACUAGAGUGUCGGAGAGGUAAGUGGAAUGCCUGGUGUAGCGGUGAAAUGCGUAGAUAUUAGGAGGAACACCAGUGGCGAAGGCGGCUUGCUGGACGAAGACUGACGUUGAGGCUCGAAAGCGUGGGGAGCGAACAGGAUUAGAUACCCGGGUAGUC